rnacentral:rRNA from 1 species
UCGCACGUUCAACGUGGCGAACGGCUCAGUAACACGUGGUCAAACUACCCUACGGACCGUGAUAACCUCGGGAAACUGAGGCUAAUAACGGAUGUCGCUCCCGAGCUGGGAUGCUGGGAGCGAUAAAGCUCCGGCGCCGUAGGAUGUGACUGCGGCCGAUUAGGUAGACGGUGGGGUAAUGGCCCACCGUGCCGAUAAUCGGUACGGGUUGUGAGAGCAAGAACCCGGAGACGGACUCUGAGACAAGAGUCCGGGCCCUACGGGGCGCAGCAGGCGCGAAACCUUUACACUGCACGCAAGUGCGAUAGGGGGACACCGAGUGCGAGGGCAUAGAGCCCUCGCUUUUGUGCAUCGUAAGGUGGUACACGAAUAAGGGCUGGGCAAGACCGGUGCCAGCCGCCGCGGUAACACCGGCAGCCCGAGUGAUGGCCGCUUUUAUUGGGCCUAAAGCGUCCGUAGCCGGCCGUUCAGGUCCGUCGGGAAAUCCACUGGCUCAAC